UACGUAGGGUCCAAGCGUUAUCCGGAAUUACUGGGCGUAAAGAGUUGCGUAGGUGGCUAAGUAAGUAGAUAGUGAAAGCGUGUGGCUCAACCAUACAUCCAUUAUCUAAACUGCUUUAGCUAGAGGACGAGAGAGGUAGAUGGAAUUUCUGAUGUAGGGGUAAUAUCCGUAGAUAUCAGAAGGAACACCGAUGGCGUAAGCAGUCUACUGGCUCGUUCCUGACACUAAGGCACGAAAGCGUGGGGAGCAAACAGG
rnacentral:rRNA from 1 species